rnacentral:rRNA from 1 species
CCUACGGGAGGCAGCAGUGGGGAAUAUUGCACAAUGGGCGCAAGCCUGAUGCAGCCAUGCCGCGUGUAUGAAGAAGGCCUUCGGGUUGUAAAGUACUUUCAGCGGGGAGGAAGGUGUUGAUGGUUAAUAACCNCAGCAAUUGACGUUACCCGCAGAAGAAGCACCGGCUAACUCCGUGCCAGCAGCCGCGGUAAU